CAGGUGUUCUCUGAAGUUCUCAGGUGCAGUGUAACCUUUAGAAUAUUUUGUCUCACAGGAUGGAGAGGAUAGAGGAAGAGGAUACUUUACAGGAGUGAGAGGACAUCAUUCUCAAGUAUGAGAAGGGACACCGAGCUGGGCUGCCAGCAGACAUGGAGCUUGAGCCUGUGGAAAUCCACAACCGCACGGAUCGGUUUAGAAUUGUGCAAGGAGUUGUCCGUGCUCCCCUCAGCCCCUAAAGCACUUGUCUCAGCUCAGAGUGAGACGGAACUGCCCCCUCUCAGUUCCCAGGAGGCCAAGGUAAGAUCCUGAUGCAUG
rnacentral:lncRNA from 13 species